rnacentral:rRNA from 1 species
GAUGAACGCUGGCGGCGUGCCUAAUACAUGCAAGUCGAGCGAACGGACGAGAAGCUUGCUUCUCUGAUGUUAGCGGCGGACGGGUGAGUAACACGUGGAUAACCUACCUAUAAGACUGGGAUAACUUCGGGAAACCGUAGCUAAUACCGGAUAAUAUUUUGAACCGCAUGGUUCAAAAGUGAAAGACGGUCUUGCUGUCACUUAUAGAUGCAUCCGCGCUGCAUUAGCUAGUUGGUAAGGUAACGGCUUACCAAGGCAACGAUGCAUAGCCGACCUGAGAGGGGGAUCGGCCACACUGGAACUGAGACACGGUCCAGACUCCUACGGGAGGCAGCAGUAGGGAAUCUUCCGCAAUGGGCGAAAGCCUGACGGAGCAACGCCGCGUGAGUGAUGAAGGUCUUCGGAUCGUAAAACUCUGUUAUUAGGGAAGAACAUAUGUGUAAGUAACUGUGCACAUCUUGACGGUACCUAAUCAGAAAGCCACGGCUAACUACGUG